rnacentral:rRNA from 1 species
AUUGAUGAAGAACGCAGCGAAAUGCGAUAAGUAAUGUGAAUUGCAGAAUUCAGUGAAUCAUCGAAUCUUUGAACGCACAUUGCGCCCCUUGGUAUUCCUUGGGGCAUGCCUGUUCGAGCGUCACU